AUUGAACGCUAGCGGCAGGCCUAACACAUGCAAGUCGAGCGAGCGGCGGACGGGUGAGUAAUGUAUGGGGACUGCCCGAUAGAGGGGGAUAACUACUGGAAACUGUGGCUAAUACCGCAUACUAUCGCCUAACCCAUAUGGGCUUUUCUAGUAGGUGGGGUAAAGGCUCACCUAGGCGACGAUCUUUAGCUGGUCUGAGAGGAUGAUCAGCCACACUGGGACUGAGACACGGCCCAGACUCCUACGGAGGCAGGAGUGGGGAAUAUUGCACAAGGGGCGAAAGCCUGAUGCAGCAGUGCCGCGUGUAUGAAGAAGGCCUUAGGGUUGUAAAGUACUUUCAGCGGGGAGGCGUUACCCGCAGAAGAAGCACCGGCUAACUCCGUGCCAGCAGCCGCGGUAAUUC
rnacentral:rRNA from 1 species